AAGACUAUACUUUCAGGGAUCAUUUCUAUAGUUUGUUACUAGAGAGGUUUCUUGGAACCUGUAGAACACCAUCACCGAUGUGGAAUAUUUGUCAUAAAUAAAUAGU
ensembl:snoRNA U3 Small nucleolar RNA U3